AACGAACGCUGGCGGCAUGCCUAACACAUGCAAGUCGAACGAGACCUUCGGGUCUAGUGGCGCACGGGUGCGUAACGCGUGGGAACCUGCCCUUAGGUUCGGAAUAACUCCCCGAAAGGGGUGCUAAUACCGGAUAAUGUCUUCGGACCAAAGAUUUAUCGCCUUUGGAUGGGCCCGCGUUGGAUUAGCUAGUUGGUAGGGUAAAAGCCUACCAAGGCGACGAUCCAUAGCUGGUCUGAGAGGAUGAUCAGCCACACUGGGACUGAGACACGGCCCAGACUCCUACGGGAGGCAGCAGUGGGGAAUAUUGGACAAUGGGCGAAAGCCUGAUCCAGCAAUGCCGCGUGAGUGAUGAAGGCCUUAGGGUUGUAAAGCUCUUUUACACGGGAUGAUAAUGACAGUACCGGGCGAAUAAGCUCCGGCUAACUCCGUG
rnacentral:rRNA from 1 species